AUUGAACGCUGGCGGCAGGCCUAACACAUGCAAGUCGAACGGUAACAGGAAACAGCUUGCUGUUUCGCUGACGAGUGGCGGACGGGUGAGUAAUGUCUGGGAAACUGCCUGAUGGAGGGGGAUAACUACUGGAAACGGUAGCUAAUACCGCAUAACGUCGUAAGACCAAAGAGGGGGACCUUCGGGCCUCUUGCCAUCGGAUGUGCCCAGAUGGGAUUAGCUAGUAGGUGGGGUAACGGCUCACCUAGGCGACGAUCCCUAGCUGGUCUGAGAGGAUGACCAGCCACACUGGAACUGAGACACGGUCCAGACUCCUACGGGAGGCAGCAGUGGGGAAUAUUGCACAAUGGGCGCAAGCCUGAUGCAGCCAUGCCGCGUGUAUGAAGAAGGCCUUCGGGUUGUAAAGUACUUUCAGCGGGGAGGAAGGGAGUAAAGUUAAUACCUUUACUCAUUGACGUUACCCGCAGAAGAAGCACCGGCUAACUCCGUG
rnacentral:rRNA from 1 species